rnacentral:lncRNA from 1 species
GGCUGAUGCUGCUCACCUCAACCAGGGAUGGCUCAGGAGCAGCUUCUGGGGCUGGGCAUCCUGGGAGAGAAGAACCUGGAGAGCCACCACCACCUCCUGCUUCCGAGCAUCAUUUGCAGCUCAGGGUGUCAUCUGGGCAUGCCAUUGUCAUGGG